GUGCAAGCUGUGCCAAUCUGGCGCGAUGGCGUGAAGAAUAGAGGGAUUUUCCCGGCUUCUUCCUAUGGCCAACGAAAAAUCAGACGAGCUUCUUACCCAUCCGGUUU
rnacentral:sRNA from 1 species